rnacentral:rRNA from 1 species
CGAGAUGUGGGUGAGAAUCCCACAGGCCGUAAACCCAAGGUUUCCAGGGGAAGGUUCGUCCGCCCUGGGUUAGUCGGGACCUAAGCUGAGUCCGAAAGGCGUAGGUGAUGGACAACAGGUUGAUAUUCCUGUACUACCGAUAACCGUUUGAGAGAAGGGAUGACACAGUAGGAUAAGCUAAGCACACUGUUGGUUAUGUGUGCCCAAGCAUUGAGGCAGUCAAAG